rnacentral:rRNA from 1 species
GACGAACGCUGGCGGCGUGCUUAACACAUGCAAGUCGAACGGAAAGGCCCUGCUUGCAGGGUGCUCGAGUGGCGAACGGGUGAGUAACACGUGGGUGAUCUGCCCCUUACUUUGGGAUAAGCCUGGGAAACUGGGUCUAAUACUGAUAGGACCAUGCUGUAGGGGGGGUGGUGGGAAGAUUAGUUUCGGUAAGGGAUGAGCUCGCGGCCUAUCAGCUUGUUGGUGGGGUAAUGGCCUACCAAGGCGUCGACGGGUAGCCGGCCUGAGAGGGUGGACGGCCACAUUGGGACUGAGAUACGGCCCAGACUCCUACGGGAGGCAGCAGAGGGGAAUAUUGCACAAUGGGCGCAAGCCUGAUGCAGCGACGCCGCGUGGGGGAUGACGGCCUUCGGGUUGUAAACUCCUUUCAGCCAUGACGAAGCCCUUGUGGUGACGGUAGUGGUAGAAGAAGCACCGGCUAACUACGUG